rnacentral:rRNA from 1 species
UACGGGGGGAGCAAGCGUUGUUCGGAUUUACUGGGCGUAAAGGGCGCGUAGGCGGUCAGCACAAGUCAGUUGUGAAAUCUCCGAGCUUAACUCGGAAAGGUCAACUGAUACUGUGCGACUAGAGUGCAGAAGGGGCAACUGGAAUUCUCGGUGUAGCGGUGAAAUGCGUAGAUAUCGAGAGGAACACCUGCGGCGAAGGCGGGUUGCUGGGCUGACACUGACGCUGAGGCGCGAAAGCUAGGGGAGCAAACGGG